CCACCCCCGUCUCCUCCCUCCCUCCUCCGCCCUCUCCCGGGUCUUGCGGGGAGGCGGGUUUAAGGUGGGUCGUGUGGCCGCGGUAACUUUCCUAACAGAGCCAAAGAGGCUCCCGGAGUCCCCAGUAGCAGCAUCGUCUCCCCGUCCUGGGCAGCGGACCCGACGCGGUGCACCCGUGCGAGCGGCCCCGGCUCGGCCGUUGGAGCCCGGGCUGCUGCUCGCCGCCUCCCGCCGCCGCCUCUCGCAGCAUCGCGCUGCCGCCGCCGCAGCCCCGCGGAUCCGGCCCCGACGGCGGGGCUCCGGUCCCGCCGAGCUGAUUGGUCACAGGGCCAAGCAACGUCUGAGGAGCUUUUGUCUGCUAUCCUGUUAAUGUGCUCUGUGUCUUCAUGUGCUGUGAGUCUGUAAAACCAGGAUCCAUUAGGAAUUUUUAGCACUUCGAGAUACAACAAUGGUGGCACAUAUGCUGGUCAAGUGGAUUCUAAAAGGGCUUAUUCUGUUUUUUCUGCUCAAAUCUACUCUGUCCCUAAACCCAGAUGAUCCAAAUGUUUGUAGUCAUUGGGAAAGCUACGCUGUGACAGUCCAGGAGUCCUAUGCUCAUCCUUUUGAUCAGAUCUAUUAUACAAGAUGUACUGACAUACUGAACUGGUUCAAGUGCACCAGGCACAGAAUAAGUUAUAAAACAGCCUAUCGAAGAGGACUAAGAACUAUGUAUCGGCGAAGAUCUCAGUGUUGCCCUGGAUAUUACGAAAGUGGAGACUACUGUAUACCACUCUGCACAGAGGAGUGUGUGCAUGGAAGAUGUGUCUCUCCUGACACUUGUCACUGUGAACCAGGAUGGGGAGGUACUGAUUGCUCCAGCGGAAGGGCCACCUCUGACGGGCCAGGGGAGCCCAGCGCCGCCUCGGCAGAGCCUAGUGGGAACAGCAGCUACAACAGUUGUGACAGUGACCACUGGGGACCCCACUGCAGCAACCGCUGCCAGUGUCAGAAUGAGGCCCUGUGCAACCCCAUCACGGGGGCCUGUGUCUGCGCAGAUGGGUACCGAGGCUGGCGCUGCGAGGAGCUCUGUGACCCCGGCACCUACGGCAAGGGCUGCCAGCUCGAGUGCCAGUGCCACAACGGAGCCACUUGCGACCACAGGACUGGAGAAUGUCACUGUGCUCCCGGAUACACCGGGGUAUUCUGUGAAGAACGCUGUCCCCCAGGCAGCCACGGAGCUCAGUGUGAGUUGCGCUGCCCAUGCCAGAACGGAGGAGUCUGCCACCACAUCACUGGAGAGUGCUCUUGUCCUCCUGGAUGGACGGGGCUGGUGUGUGCGCAGCCAUGUCCUCCUGGAACAUUUGGAAUUAACUGCAGUCAGGACUGCCCAUGCCACAACGGAGGACACUGUGAUCCUGUGACAGGAAAAUGCAUCUGCACAGCUGGCUAUAUAGGAGACAGGUGUCAAGAAGAGUGUCCUAUUGGGACAUACGGCUUUCAGUGCACACAAAGAUGUGACUGCCAAAAUGGCGCAAAGUGUUACCAUGUAAAUGGAGCGUGUAUAUGUGGUCCUGGAUUUAAAGGGAUUUAUUGCCAAGAAAGAAUGUGUCCAGAAGGGUUUUAUGGCCUCAAAUGCAACAAGAGAUGUCCUUGCAAUAUUACCAACACUCUCAGUUGCCAUCCAUUGUCUGGAGAAUGUAGCUGCAAAGCUGGCUGGGCUGGACUCUACUGCAAUGAAACCUGUCCCCUUGGGUACUAUGGUGAAGGCUGCCAGCUGACCUGCCCCUGCCAGAAUGGUGCAGAUUGUGACAGCAUCACAGGGAAGUGUAUGUGUGCACCAGGGUACAUGGGAGAUGACUGCACCAUUACCUGCAUGGCAGGAACCUAUGGAACCAACUGCUCAUCAGUUUGUAAUUGCAAAAAUGAUGGUGCAUGUUCCCCUGUGGAUGGUCUGUGCUAUUGCAAAGAAGGCUGGCAAGGAGUGGAUUGCUCUAUUCCAUGUUCAAGUGGAAGUUGGGGUCUUAACUGUAACCAGACAUGUUACUGCACGAACGGAGCAGCCUGCAGGCCAGCUGAUGGCUUUUGUCUCUGCUCACCUGGAUGGCAAGGGGAGUACUGUGACCAGCCAUGUCCUGAUGGAACAUAUGGUCUUAAUUGCAGUGAACGUUGUGACUGUAGCCAUGCAGAUGGGUGUGAUCCUGUCACCGGUUACUGCUGCUGUCUUGCAGGCUGGACAGGCAUCCACUGUGACAAUAUCUGCACCCAGGGCCGCUGGGGACCAAACUGCUCCAUCUCCUGUAACUGUGAGAACGGAGGAUCCUGCUCCCCAGAGGAUGGCACUUGUGAGUGUGCACCGGGAUACAGAGGACCCUUGUGCCAGAGAAUUUGUCCCCCUGGCUUUUACGGGCACCACUGCAGCCAGCCCUGCCCUCAGUGUGUGCACAGCAGCGGGCCUUGUCACCACGUGUCAGGACACUGCGACUGCUUGCCUGGAUUCUUUGGUGCUCUCUGCAACCAAGUCUGUCCCAGUGGAAAAUAUGGGAAGAACUGUGCUGAGGUCUGUCAGUGCACCGAGAACGGGACAUGCAAUCCAAUCGAUGGAGCGUGUCAGUGCUUUCCGGGCUGGAUAGGGACAGACUGCUCUCAGACUUGUCCCACUGGUUUUUGGGGCCCUGAUUGCUUUCAUUCAUGCAACUGCCACAACGGAGCAAUGUGCAGCCCAUACGAUGGAGAAUGUAGAUGCACUCAUGGUUGGACGGGGCUCUACUGCACUCAGCGUUGCCCAGCUGCUUUUUAUGGGAAAAACUGUGCCAACGUUUGUCAGUGUCAGAACGGAGCGGACUGUGACCACAUCACUGGGCAGUGCACGUGCAGGACUGGAUUUACAGGCAAACAAUGUGAGCAAAAGUGCUCACCAGGAACAUUUGGUUAUGGUUGCAAACAACUAUGUGAAUGCAUGAAUAAUGCUACGUGUGACCAUGUCACAGGUACUUGCUACUGCAGUCCAGGCUUCAAAGGAAUCCGAUGUGACCAAGCGGCUCUUAUGAUGGAAGAAUUAAACCCAUAUACUAAAAUUAGCCCUGCUCUUGGAUCAGAGAGGCACUCAGUGGGAGCAAUCAUUGGAAUUAUUAUUCUCCUUCUAAUUAUUAUGGUCUUGCUGGCACUGUUUGUGUGGUAUCGACGGAAACAGAAGGAGAAGGGCCAUGACAUGCCAAGUGUAUCUUAUACUCCAGCCAUGAGGAUGACUAAUACAGAUUACUCACUUUCUGAUGUAUCUCAAGGUAGCGGCAGUGUACAUUGUUUUUCCAAUCCAAGCUACCACACUCUCUCAUGUGGUGUGACUUCACGCUUCUUUACCAGUAAUCUGGAUGGAAACAGCUCCAGUAAGCUCAGUAACAAAACCCUUGACAGAGAAACUGCAGACUGGAGACCCUACAGCUAUCUGAAUGAACUAGGUGCUUGUGGGAUGGAUAGACGUCAGAACACAUACAUAAUGGAAAAAAGCUUCAAAGACAGCGGGGGCAGCUGGGAUUGCAGCUAUUUUGCAAGUCCCGCUAUUUCACCGGGAGUAUUUCAUAUAUACCAGGAUCUGCCUUUGUACUGUAACCCAGCACAAGAAAAUGCCUCAUCUUUCAUUGCAUCGCUCUAAUUCUAAAUUACUGGCACUGCCCAGCAGGAUGCACACAGCAGCAAUGAUUAUAUGAAAGAAUCUGUGUGCAGCUCCAGCACUUGUUCCCUGAACAGCAGCGAAAACCCAUACGCCACCAUCAAAGACCCCCCCAUUUUAACAUGCAAACACUCCGAGAGCAGCUACGUGGAAAUGAAAUCGCCUGGGCACAGGGAGUCCCCAUAUUCAGAAAUGCCAACUUCAUCGACCGCCAAUAAAAACAUCUAUGAAGUUGAGCCCACUGUCAGCGUGGUCCAAGAUGCCCGUGGUCGGAGUGCCAGUUACCUCCAGAAUCCAUACGACCUGCCUAGGAACAGUCACAUUCCUGGUCACUACGACCUCCUCCCUGUAAGGCACAGCCCGACGCAUGGGCCAUCCUGGGACAAGCAGUCUUAAAAGGAUGAACUUCACUGGUGCACUGUGCUGCAAACACAAACUGAGGGAGCAAAAGAGAAGACAAUCCUUUUCUGUGCUGCAGGAUGCUGAUGGGACUUCAGACUGUCUUACACAAGGACCUAACGUAACACAACAUCAGCUUGGGCCAACUGCUGCUGCAUGAUGUUAUUUAUAAAGACAUUUUUAUAUGGGUAACAGGACCUAAUGAGAACCUCCUCCACAUGUGAUUGGAGUCCAUCACCCCAGGAAGGUGUCUACGUGCUCCAGGCAAAAACUCUCCGUGGCGUGUAUUCUAACCCUGGCUUUGCUGUAAAAUAAAACACAAAACCAUGCUAAGUAGAAGGACUUACAGAUGUACAUUUCUACCAACUGCAUCAAGAACCCUUUUACUGUUAGGAACAAGGUGACUUGGAAUACACUGGAAUAUAUUGUACUUCUUUGUCAUGGAAAUGGACAUUUUUCUGAAUGAAAGCAGGGAACCUUGUCAUUUCACUGUCUGGACUGCCAUAACCAUGUGCAACCUGUGCAGAUCAUGCGUGGUAAUCAGCAUGGAGAUUUUUAUCUUCCUAUUCAGUACCAGGGUAUUUGAGUUGAGGAAUAUUAACACAGACACAUUCUGUGCAGGUUUUAAAAUGUAACAGCUUGGCAAAUGUCCACUGAUCCUUGCUAAUGACUUGAGUUUCAAUGAGCCUCGCACCCAUCUCACCACAGAUUUAACAAGGUAUAAAAUACUCUGAUUGGCACAAAUAGGCUUUAAUUUCCCUUAUACAGCUUUGAUUUUGUUAGAUAAAUCCAUCAGAUUUGUCAGGCAGUGCAGACUGAUGCAGGUUUUCACAGACUAGUCCUGGUUUGGUUUCCUUUCCUAAAGCUAAGCCACAUUGCCUCUUCUAGCCCAUCUUCACAAACCAUCUCACCAUGAUUUCCUUACAGCAUGCCAUUUAUGACCCCCUUUAAUUUGAUGUGCAUUACCAUGUAGUGCAUCUUUAUCUGCUGAUGAUUCUACCUGAAAUGUCAUUAAAUUGAGCUGAAACUGGGUUUGUGUUUCAGCAGCUGUUUGGGAAGGGACUUUCAAGGGGUUGGCCAUGGUAAAGUUUUGGACUAAGCCACCAUGAGUAUUUUUUUUAUUUUUAUUGACCUAGGAAGUAGAACACUCGCUGUUAAGCAGUUCCUUGUAGAUUUUGAGCAUGAAGUAGUAUUGAUUCUAAAUAUGUAAUUUUAUUAGGCAAACAUGGAAGUAGCAAGUUGAUUGCCUCUUAAAUAGAAACCACAACCUUCUGUUGCACAUUCGCCAGUCUGAUGGAAGCAGAAGAGCCCAAAACCAGCACCACUCAGUUUGCUCAAAGCAUGAUCACUUGUGUAACCCAUUGGUCUGGGGGACUGGUCCAAGGAACCUUCCCACUUGGAGCAGCGGCUUGAUCCCAGCUCCGAGUCAGACCAGGAUCAAGUGUUGGAUCACUCGGAGCACGCUGGUGGGGAUGGAAGCCCUGUGACAGUGGUACGAGCCCCUGGCAGCCUGCACAGCACCCCUGGGUGCAGCACCACAACACACUCCCAUCAGGGCAUGGGGAGCCCCAGUGAUGGGGCUGGGUGGGCUCUGGACCCCACUGUGCAAACCAAGAGACCCUCCAGAGCAGCAGUUCUUCAUCCUGCAGGAUAAUGCAUAAGUAGUUACAUGAAUGCUGCAUGUGUGCAUGGGGGCAAUGACUGAGCAGCAAUAGUGAUUUUAUUUUCCAGGAAAGCCUUACUUGAGAUGUAAGCAGACAAUUAUUUUGUAGGGCCAGUAGGGAUAUAUUUUAUGUACAGGAAUAGAAAGACUUACCUCAAAAGUAUCAUGAGAAAAGGCAAUUUGCAAAGGAACUCUCUUGUUAGAGACCUACCUGACACCGAGCACAAGCAGUCUGAGCUGCUGCCUGACCAACAUCUGUGUGUGUUGCUGUAAAGUUCACAAUGAGACUCCAGAGAGCAGAGAUGUGCUCCAUUAUUUUUUCAAAGCUGGAUUUUCAAACCAAAUGCAACGAUGUGCAUAGAGCUUAACAGGAAAAAAACAAACCCGACACCUAAAAAAGUACCUUCUUGUAUAUGAGCAUUAGCUUUGGAAACAGGCAUCAAAAUGGCAAUACUUUUUUAAGGCAAGACAGAUUUGUAAUAUAUUUGUUCACUGUGCAAAGGUAUCCCACCUUGUACAAAAUAAAUGGAAUUUCUCUCAGUG